UACGAAGGGGGCUAGCGUUGCUCGGAAUCACUGGGCGUAAAGCGCACGUAGGCGGCUUCUUAAGUCAGGGGUGAAAUCCUGGAGCUCAACUCCAGAACUGCCUUUGAUACUGGGAGGCUCGAGUCCGGGAGAGGUGAGUGGAACUGCGAGUGUAGAGGUGAAAUUCGUAGAUAUUCGCAAGAACACCAGUGGCGAAGGCGGCUCACUGGCCCGGUACUGACGCUGAGGUGCGAAAGCGUGGGGAGCAAACAGGG
rnacentral:rRNA from 1 species